UUAAGCGACUAAGCGUACACGGUGGAUGCCCUGGCAGUCAGAGGCGAUGAAGGACGUGCUAAUCUGCGAAAAGCGUCGGUAAGGUGAUAUGAACCGUUACAGCCGGCGAUGUCCGAAUGGGGAAACCCAGUGCAAUUCGUUGCACUAUCGUUAACUGAAUACAUAGGUUAACGAGGCGAACCGGGGGAACUGAAACAUCUAAGUACCCCGAGGAAAAGAAAUCAACCGAGAUUCCCCCAGUAGCGGCGAGCGAACGGGGAGCAGCCCAGAGUCUGAAUCAGCUUGUGUGUUAGUGGAACGGUCUGGAAAGUCCGACGGUACAGGGUGAUAGUCCCGUACACCAAAAUGCACAGGCUGUGAACUCGAAGAGUAGGGCGGGACACGUGGUAUCCUGUCUGAAUAUGGGGGGACCAUCCUCCAAGGCUAAAUACUCCUGACUGACCGAUAGUGAACCAGUACCGUGAGGGAAAGGCGAAAAGAACCCCGGCGAGGGGAGUGAAAAAGAACCUGAAACCGUGUACGUACAAGCAGUGGGAGCACCUUCGGGUGUGACUGCGUACCUUUUGUAUAAUGGGUCAGCGACUUAUAUUCUGUAGCAAGGUUAACCGUAUAGGGGAGCCGCAGGGAAACCGAGUCUUAACUGGGCGUUAAGUUGCAGGGUAUAGACCCGAAACCCGGUGAUCUAGCCAUGGGCAGGUUGAAGGUUGGGUAACACUAACUGGAGGACCGAACCGACUAAUGUUGAAAAAUUAGCGGAUGACUUGUGGCUGGGGGUGAAAGGCCAAUCAAACCGGGAGAUAGCUGGUUCUCCCCGAAAGCUAUUUAGGUAGCGCCUCGUGAACUCAUCUUCGGGGGUAGAGCACUGUUUCGGCUAGGGGGUCAUCCCGACUUACCAACCCGAUGCAAACUACGAAUACCGAAGAAUGUUAUCACGGGAGACACACGGCGGGUGCUAACGUCCGUCGUGAAGAGGGAAACAACCCAGACCGCCAGCUAAGGUCCCAAAGUCAUGGUUAAGUGGGAAACGAUGUGGGAAGGCACAGACAGCCAGGAUGUUGGCUUAGAAGCAGCCAUCAUUUAAAGAAAGCGUAAUAGCUCACUGGUCGAGUCGGCCUGCGCGGAAGAUGUAACGGGGCUAAACCAUGCACCGAAGCUGCGGCAGCGACACUAUGUGUUGUUGGGUAGGGGAGCGUUCUGUAAGCCUGCGAAGGUGUGCUGUGAGGCAUGCUGGAGGUAUCAGAAGUGCGAAUGCUGACAUAAGUAACGAUAAAGCGGGUGAAAAGCCCGCUCGCCGGAAGACCAAGGGUUCCUGUCCAACGUUAAUCGGGGCAGGGUGAGUCGACCCCUAAGGCGAGGCCGAAAGGCGUAGUCGAUGGGAAACAGGUUAAUAUUCCUGUACUUGGUGUUACUGCGAAGGGGGGACGGAGAAGGCUAUGUUAGCCGGGCGACGGUUGUCCCGGUUUAAGCAUGUAGGCUGGUUAUCCAGGCAAAUCCGGAUAAUCAAGGCUGAGGUGUGAUGACGAGGCACUACGGUGCUGAAGUAACAAAUGCCCUGCUUCCAGGAAAAGCCUCUAAGCAUCAGGUAACAUUAAAUCGUACCCCAAACCGACACAGGUGGUCAGGUAGAGAAUACCAAGGCGCUUGAGAGAACUCGGGUGAAGGAACUAGGCAAAAUGGUGCCGUAACUUCGGGAGAAGGCACGCUGGUGUGUAGGUGAAGUCCCUGCGGAUGGAGCUGAGACCAGUCGAAGAUACCAGCUGGCUGCAACUGUUUAUUAAAAACACAGCACUGUGCAAACACGAAAGUGGACGUAUACGGUGUGACGCCUGCCCGGUGCCGGAAGGUUAAUUGAUGGGGUUAUCCGUAAGGAGAAGCUCUUGAUCGAAGCCCCGGUAAACGGCGGCCGUAACUAUAACGGUCCUAAGGUAGCGAAAUUCCUUGUCGGGUAAGUUCCGACCUGCACGAAUGGCGUAAUGAUGGCCAGGCUGUCUCCACCCGAGACUCAGUGAAAUUGAACUCGCUGUGAAGAUGCAGUGUACCCGCGGCAAGACGGAAAGACCCCGUGAACCUUUACUAUAGCUUGACACUGAACAUUGAGCCUUGAUGUGUAGGAUAGGUGGGAGGCUUUGAAGCGUGGACGCCAGUCUGCGUGGAGCCAACCUUGAAAUACCACCCUUUAAUGUUUGAUGUUCUAACGUUGGCCCCUGACCGGGGUUGCGGACAGUGUCUGGUGGGUAGUUUGACUGGGGCGGUCUCCUCCCAAAGCGUAACGGAGGAGCACGAAGGUUAGCUAAUCCUGGUCGGACAUCAGGAGGUUAGUGCAAUGGCAUAAGCUAGCUUGACUGCGAGCGUGACGGCGCGAGCAGGUGCGAAAGCAGGUCAUAGUGAUCCGGUGGUUCUGAAUGGAAGGGCCAUCGCUCAACGGAUAAAAGGUACUCCGGGGAUAACAGGCUGAUACCGCCCAAGAGUUCAUAUCGACGGCGGUGUUUGGCACCUCGAUGUCGGCUCAUCACAUCCUGGGGCUGAAGUAGGUCCCAAGGGUAUGGCUGUUCGCCAUUUAAAGUGGUACGCGAGCUGGGUUUAGAACGUCGUGAGACAGUUCGGUCCCUAUCUGCCGUGGGCGCUGGAGAAUUGAGGGGGGCUGCUCCUAGUACGAGAGGACCGGAGUGGACGCAUCACUGGUGUUCGGGUUGUCAUGCCAAUGGCACUGCCCGGUAGCUAAAUGCGGAAGAGAUAAGUGCUGAAAGCAUCUAAGCACGAAACUUGCCCCGAGAUGAGUUCUCCCUGAGACUUUAAGUCUCCUGAAGGAACGUUAAAGACGAUGACGUUGAUAGGCCGGGUGUGUAAGCGCAGCGAUGCGUUGAGCUAACCGGUACUAAUGAACCGUGAGGCUUAACCUU
rnacentral:rRNA from 1 species